rnacentral:rRNA from 1 species
UGCCAGCAGCCGCGGUAAGACAGGAGGAGCAAGUGUUAUUCAGAAUUACUGGGCGUAAAGCGUGCGCAGGCAGUUUUAUAAGUCAGAUGUGAAAUCCCCGAGCUCAACUUGGGAACUGCGUUUGAAACUGUAAGACUAGAGUGUGUCAGAGGGGGGUAGAAUUCCAAGUGUAGCAGUGAAAUGCGUAGAGAUUUGGAGGAAUACCAAUGGCGAAGGCAGCCCCCUGGGAUAACACUGACGCUCAUGCACGAAAGCGUGGGGAGCAAACAGGAUUAGAUA